rnacentral:lncRNA from 1 species
GAUGAACAGAUACUAUUAAUUGCUGGACACUUUAAAUAUUGCACCAACGUGAAGUCCAUGUAUUGGUACUAAGGACUUUAGGCGAGUGGUGUUAUUUACUACUAAAAAUGAAUGUUUCGGUUUAGACAGUUUUUAAGCAACUGUAUAUUGUACAUGUGGAAAAUAUGACCAAUUAGAAUAUGUGAGUUAAAUGAACUACAGGAAACCCAGUAAAUUCCUUGUUAGUUUUGAACUCUGCUUUCAGUAGCUUCAACCAAAAUCUUUGAAGUCAUACCUGGCUAGGCUGUUGGUAACCAACACACUCUUCUACUGGCCAGAAACAUCCAGUACCAAACUGCUAUCCUCCCCCUUCUUUCCCCGUUUCAACUACCACUGUGUCUAGCCUGUGUUAAAACAGUGUCUCCGAGCUGAUUUCCCACAUUACCUUCUUGCUCACUUCAGCAUUUACCCACACAAGGACCUGAGUGAAAAAGUGUUUCUUUUUAAAAAUUGGAUCACCCAAGUCUAUUCCAAACCUUUUCAUGGCUUGCUUUCUCACUCAGCAAAAUAUAACAGUCUUCCUGCUACCUAUGCAACAUUGUGCUGUGGUCCCUCCUCUCCCAGCUCUUUCCCUAACUCAGUCCUGAAGUCACAAGCUGGGCAUACUGCUGCCAUUACAGGGCCAUUACACUGGCUGUUUCUCCCUGCCUGGCUGUCCUCCCCAGACAUCCUCAGGUCCCUCCCUUCCCUCUAGCAUAAUGGCUUCCAAGUGGUUCUAUUUAAACUGCACACUUAACAUCUCCUAUUUCCCUUUCCUGCUGUAUUUUUCUCUUAGCAUUUAUCUCCAUUGGUUUCCUGGGACUACAUAAACAAAUUGAGUGGCAUAAAAGAAUAAAUUUGUUCCCUCACAGUUCUGGAGACUACAAGUCUGCAAUCAAGGUGACAGCAAGACCACACUCUCUGAAGUUUCUAUAGGAGUAUCUGUUCAUGCUUUCCCCUUAGCCUCUGGUGUUGUUGGCUAAGCAUGGGCAUGGCAUUCCUUGGCUUGUAGACACAUUAUUCCAAUCCCUGCCUCCUUCAUGGCAUCGUGUUUUCCCCAUCGUGUUUUAAGAACACCAUUUGUAUUAGAUUAGGACACACCAGAAUGAUAUCAUCUUAACCAAUAACACAUGGGAAGACCCUUUUUCCAAAUAAGCAUUCACAGUCACCAAGCCUAAGGAUUUCAACAUAUCUUUGGGGACAUACAAUUCUAUCCAUGAGACUAACUCGUCGUAGUUUAUUAUCAUAUGUAUUGUCUAUGUUCCCUGCACUCCAUUAAAAUGUAAGGGCCACAAAAAAGAAAUGUUUCUCCCUUCCUCUGCUGUGUGCCAGCUCCAGGACUGCCUGGCACAUGUGGUUAGGUCCUCCAUAUACCCAGGUGGAAUCAGCCAGCUGGCCCACUGGGCAUGACUGCGGGCAGCCGCCCUCACAAAGCUGCCGGGGUCUGUUGCACAGGUUCUCAUUGUCACUUGUCCAAUGGUGGGCGCUUCUUCCCUGCUGCCUCUUGCACUGUCUUUGCAGUUUGCCUUCAGGCAACCCCUUUGAUUUGAUUCUUAAGCCACCAGACAACUUUUUAUAUUUCGAGUCAGAGUUUUAUUAUUUAUAUAUUUAAUCACAAAUCUUUUUAUGUAAAAGGAGCAAUAUAUUUCUGAAUGCAAAUCAAGAAACAAUAUUGAGAGUAAAAUGCAGUUCUUGAGACCCAGAUUAAGGGUCUUUGCUUAUCAAUAUCUACAGAAAAGCCCAGCAGUUUGCCCUUGGGGCUAACACACACACACACACACACAUUCUCUCUCUCUCUCUCUCUCUCUCUCUCUCUUCCUCCCUCCCUCUGAUUUUGGAGGAGAGAUAAGAUUAGACAUUACACUAUGGUUUUUGAGAUUUUUUACCAUGGAAAAAUGGUUUGCAAUGUAUAUUCCAUGGACUACCCAUGCCAGAAUCAGCCGAACUGGUCAAAAUGCAGAUGUCUGGAGCUCACCCAAUCUACCAAACAUCUACCAAAACUCUUGUUAGGAGCAAGCUCAGGAGUGUAGCUUAAGCAAAUUCCCUGAGCGACUCUUAAGUACAGUGAAGUUUAAAAACUUCUGCCUUAACCAGUAUUCCCAAACUCAGUAAUGUAAGUAUCUGAAGAAAAUCAAAGUGUGUGUGUAUUAGUUACUACUGAGCAACAAGCCACCCUCAAACGCAAUGGCUUUACUGUUUCUCAAAGACAACCUCAGUCACCUGAGUUGUUCUACUGCUCAGAUUGGACAAGGCCAUGGUUGCAAUCAUCUGGCAGGGCUGCAGAAGAGUGCUGCCCUAGAGCUACCACACUUUCACAUGGCUGGCAGAUGGCUGGCUGGCAGCUAGGGUGUCAGGUUCGACGGGCCCAAGUGUCUCGUUACCCAGCAGGCUAGCCCCAGCUUGUUCUUAGCUGGCUGAACAUGGUCUCCAGAAACAAGCAGACGUGCACAGGCUCAGAGCUGGUAUCCCUCACUUCCUCAACAUUCCCUGAGCCCAAGUGAGAGGCAAGGCCUUGAAAAGAGAGCCAUGGGGUGUGGAAGUAGCCUCCAUGUCCUGACUGAAGAAACUGCAGAGGACAUGGGAAACUGGACAGGGAAUAACUGGGGCUGCAUUGUCCAAACCUCUGUCUUCACAAGGCAUUUUUCCAGUGUGUCUCUGGGUCUUCUCCUUUUGUAAGGAUGCCAGUCAUUGGAUUUAGGGUCCAAUCAAAAACCAGGAUGAUUUCAUCUUAAGAUCUUUAACUGAUUGCAUCUGGAAAGACUCCCAUUUCCAAAUAAAGUCAUAUUCUGAGAUCGUGGCUGGACUUGAUUUUGGGGAGGACACCAUUCAAC